UUUCUCAAGGUUGACCUCGGAUCAGGUAGGGAUACCCGCUGAACUUAAGCAUAUCAAUAGCCGGGAGGAA
rnacentral:rRNA from 1 species